AACGAACGCUGGCGGCAUGCCUAACACAUGCAAGUCGAACGAGACCUUCGGGUCUAGUGGCGCACGGGUGCGUAACGCGUGGGAACCUGCCCUUAGGUUCGGAAUAACUCCCCGAAAGGGGUGCUAAUACCGGAUAAUGUCUUCGGACCAAAGAUUUAUCGCCUUUGGAUGGGCCCGCGUUGGAUUAGCUAGUUGGUAGGGUAAAAGCCUACCAAGGCGACGAUCCAUAGCUGGUCUGAGAGGAUGAUCAGCCACACUGGGACUGAGACACGGCCCAGACCCCCAGGGGGGGCGGGAGUGGGGAAAUGUGGAAAAGGGGCGAAAGCCUGACCCAGCAAGGCCGGGUGAGGGAUGAAGGCCUUAGGGUUGUAAAGCUUUUUUACCCGGGAUGAUAAUGACAGUACCGGGGGAAUAAGCCCCGGCUAACCCCGU
rnacentral:rRNA from 1 species